CAGUAGCCGCGGGAAUACGGAGGGGGCUAGCGUUGUUCGGAAUUACUGGGCGUAAAGCGUACGUAGGCGGUUUUGUAAGUUAGAGGUGAAAGCCCGGAGCUCAACUCCGGAAUUGCCUUUAAGACUGCAUCACUUGAAUCGUGGAGAGGUGAGUGGAAUUCCGAGUGUAGAGGUGAAAUUCGUAGAUAUUCGGAAGAACACCAGUGGCGAAGGCGGCUCACUGGACACGUAUUGACGCUGAGGUACGAAAGCGUGGGGAGCAAACAGGAUUAGAUACCCCUGUAGUCCCUGUCUCUUAUAA
rnacentral:rRNA from 1 species